UGGUAAAAAGAGGAAUUAAACCCCUAUUAGCAGGACUACAGCCUGCUGCCUAUGCACUCGGCCAUUUUACC
rnacentral:tRNA from 1 species